GAAAUCUCUACCAUCACCACUUCAUUCCUUUUCUUCCUUUCUUCUUCUGUUCUUUUUUUCUUUCCUUUUUCUCAAACUCCAUUAGCAUGAUUUGAAGCUUUUGAUAGAGAAGAUAAUUAAGGUUUGGAGAAAUUUUCAUUGUUGAUAGAUUUAAUUGAAGAGCAAGGAGAUUAAUAGAGAUGUGUCCAAGGGCAAGGAAGUGGCAAGAAGAGAGGAAUAGGACUACCUUGUUGUCCUAUAAAUUUGUGAAAGCUGAGCCGGGCAGAUAGCUACUCGAGUAUGUGAGGUGGCGAGACUGAGCCGGGUGGAUAAUCUUGUCAGGUAGCCACCAAAAUGUGAAUUAAGUGAGGAAAUGUGAGCUUAAGUCUUCUGACCCUAAUUUUAUGAGAAUUAAUGUAAAAUGGAAUUGUUUGUUUGGUUAAAAUAUUGAAUUGGUUGAGUUUGAAA